UACAGAGGUCUCGAGCGUUGUUCGGAUUCAUUGGGCGUAAAGGGUGCGUAGGUGGCGUGGUAAGUCGGGUGUGAAAUUUCGGAGCUCAACUCCGAAACUGCAUUCGAUACUGCUGUGCUUGAGGACUGGAGAGGAGACUGGAAUUUACGGUGUAGCAGUGAAAUGCGUAGAGAUCGUAAGGAAGACCAGUGGCGAAGGCGGGUCUCUGGACAGUUCCUGACACUGAGGCACGAAGGCCAGGGGAGCAAACGGG
rnacentral:rRNA from 1 species